rnacentral:tRNA from 1 species
ACCUUUCUAGUACAAAAGACAGUAUAGGUGGCUUCCAACCACUUGAUCUUGGUUAAAGCCCAAGGAAAGGUA